rnacentral:rRNA from 1 species
UACGGAGGGGGCUAGCGUUGUUCGGAAUUACUGGGCGUAAAGGGCGCGUAGGCGGGUUGCUAAGUUAGAGGUGAAAGCCCAGGGCUCAACCCUGGAAUUGCCUUUAAUACUGGCAGCCUUGAGUAUGGCAGAGGUGUGUGGAACUCCGAGUGUAGAGGUGAAAUUCGUAGAUAUUCGGAAGAACACCAGUGGCGAAGGCGGCUCACUGGCCCGGUACUGACGCUGAGGUGCGAAAGCGUGGGGAGCAAACAGG